UGUGUGUGUUAGUGGAAGCGUCUGGAAAGGCGCGCGAUACAGGGUGACAGCCCCGUACACAAAAAUGCACAUACUGUGAGCUCGAUGAGUAGGGCGGGACACGUGGUAUCCUGUCUGAAUAUGGGGGGACCAUCCUCCAAGGCUAAAUACUCCUGACUGACCGAUAGUGAACCAGUACCGUGAGGGAAAGGCGAAAAGAACCCCGGCGAGGGGAGUGAAAAAGAACCUGAAACCGUGUACGUACAAGCAGUGGGAGCACGCUUAGGCGUGUGACUGCGUACCUUUUGUAUAAUGGGUCAGCGACUUAUAUUCUGUAGCAAGGUUAACCGAAUAGGGGAGCCGAAGGGAAACCGAGUCUUAACUGGGCGUUAAGUUGCAGGGUAUAGACCCGAAACCCGGUGAUCUAGCCAUGGGCAGGUUGAAGGUUGGGUAACACUAACUGGAGGACCGAACCGACUAAUGUUGAAAAAUUAGCGGAUGACUUGUGGCUGGGGGUGAAAGGCCAAUCAAACCGGGAGAUAGCUGGUUCUCCCCGAAAGCUAUUUAGGUAGCGCCUCGUGAAUUCAUCUCCGGGGGUAGAGCACUGUUUCGGCAAGGGGGUCAUCCCGACUUACCAACCCGAUGCAAACUGCGAAUACCGGAGAAUGUUAUCACGGGAGACACACGGCGGGUGCUAACGUCCGUCGUGAAGAGGGAAACAACCCAGACCGCCAGCUAAGGUCCCAAAGUCAUGGUUAAGUGGGAAACGAUGUGGGAAGGCCCAGACAGCCAGGAUGUUGGCUUAGAAGCAGCCAUCAUUUAAAGAAAGCGUAAUAGCUCACUGGUCGAGUCGGCCUGCGCGGAAGAUGUAACGGGGCUAAACCAUG
rnacentral:rRNA from 1 species